UGGGUUUACAGAACAAGUUUAUUUCAAGCAGAAAGAAUCAGAAGAGGAGAUGGAGAUUUUACGCUAAGCCCUGCUCACUUUAUAUAACCAAAAACACAGUUUGUUUCAUACAAAUAUCCGUCUUAGAGGAAGACAAAGAGGGAAUAGAUUAUUACAUUUCCAUGAAGUCUUUUGACACACAGUUUGUUUAAACAAAGAUUCGAUUUAGUAGGUUAAUUUUAAGAAAAUCCAUAAUUAUUUUUAAACGGUUUGAUACAACAUUCCAAGGGCAGCCUAUGGCGUCUGGACAUAGGUCUAAUUCUAGCAGCUCGAACAGUUAGUCUGCCAUUGAAGUCAAUAUAAACACCAUUAUUCAGUUGUGAGAAAUAUAUGUGAUAAGAGAAUCUAUCCUUUAAUAUCUAAUUUUACUUCCCAUUAAACAUGCCUACAGCAAAGUUCAAUGGUGGGGUUGAAGAAAGCAUUAUUUGGGAUUUAAAGAAUGAGAUGUUUUUAUAAUGUAUUUGCAGAUAACCUCCAUAAUAUUGUAUUUUUAUCAGAAUCAAAAAACAAAAGGUGAAUUUUUAUUUUUUUUAAAGGGCAAAUCGCACGCUGUGAGGAUUUAUAAGCAAUCUGUUGGUAAAUAAGCCAUCAGAAUGAAAUCA